rnacentral:rRNA from 1 species
CACGUAAGGUGCGAGCGUUGUUCGGAUUUAUUGGGCGUAAAGGGCAUGUAGGCGGCCCAGCAAGCCCGGGGUGAAACCGCGCAGCUUAACUGCGUGGCUGCCCCGGGAACUGCAGGGCUGGAGUCACCGAAGGGGAGCCGGAAUUCCAGGUGUAGGGGUGAAAUCUGUAGAUCUCUGGAAGAACACCGAUGGCGAAGGCAGGCUCCUGGCGGAUGACUGACGCUGAGGUGCGAAGGUGCGGGGAGCGAAC